GGGCCCGCACAAGCGGUGGAGCAUGUGGUUUAAUUCGACGCAACGCGAAGAACCUUACCAAGGCUUGACAUCUACAGAAUCCUUGAGAGAUCAGGGAGUGCUCUUCGGAGAACUGUAAGACAGGUGGUGCAUGGUUGUCGUCAGCUCGUGUCGUGAGAUGUUGGGUUAAGUCCCGCAACGAGCGCAACCCCUAUAUUCAGUUGCCAGCACUUAGGGUGGGAACUCUGGAUAGACUGCCGGUGACAAACCGGAGGAAGGUGGGGAUGACGUCAAAUCAUCAUGCCCCUUAUGUCUUGGGCUACACACGUGCUACAAUGGGCAGUACAGACGGAAGCGAAGCCGCGAGGUGGAGCAAAUCCGAGAAAGCUGUUCGUAGUUCGGAUUGCAGGCUGCAACUCGCCUGCAUGAAGUCGGAAUCGCUAGUAAUCGCAGGUCAGCACACUGCGGUGAAUACGUUCCCGGGCCUU
rnacentral:rRNA from 1 species